UACGAAGGAUCCAAGCGUUGUCCGGAUUUACUGGGUUUAAAGGGUGCGUAGGCGGACCUUUAAGUCAGUGGUGAAAGCCUGUAGCUUAACUAUAGAAUUGCCAUUGAAACUGAAAGUCUCGAGUGUGGUUGAGGUAACUGGAAUAUAUCAUGUAGCGGUGAAAUGCUUAGAUAUGAUAUAGAACACCAAUUGCGAAGGCAGGUUACUGAGCCAUUACUGACGCUGAGGCACGAAAGCGUGGGGAUCAAACAGG
rnacentral:rRNA from 1 species